rfam:Gossypium raimondii Chr10_contig_628, whole genome shotgun sequence.
AAACCAUGCAUAGGAUAUUUUCUAAGUAAUUCCUUAAAUCUUUCCCAGGCUUCGUAAAACGUUUCAUCCUUUGAUUUCUGUAAAGAUGUGAUGUCAUUUCUAAGCUU